rnacentral:rRNA from 1 species
AGUGAACGCUGGCGGUAGGCCUAACACAUGCAAGUCGAACGGCAGCACAGUAAGCGCUUGCUCUUACGGGUGGCGAGUGGCGGACGGGUGAGGAAUACAUCGGAAUCUACUUUUUCGUGGGGGAUAACGUAGGGAAACUUACGCUAAUACCGCAUACGACCUACGGGUGAAAGCAGGGGAUCUUCGGACCUUGCCCGAUUCAAUGAGCCGGUUUCGGAUUAGCUAGUUGGGGGGGUAAAGGCCCACCAAGGCGACGAUUCGUAGCUGGUCUGAGAAGAAGAAUCGACACACUGGGACUGGGGCACGGUUCCAAAUCCCUAGGGGGGGCGGCGUAGGGGAUUUUGGGCAAUGGGGGAAAGCCCUACGCAAGCAAGCCGCGGGGGGGAAGAAGGUCCUUCGGUUGUUAAAGCCCUUUUGUUGGGAAAAAAAAGCAGCAGGUUAAUACCCCACUUUUUUAACGGUACCAAAAAAAUAGGCACCGGCAACCUUCGU